rnacentral:rRNA from 1 species
GAGCGGGCGUAGCAAUACGUCAGCGGCAGACGGGUGAGUAACGCGUGGGAACGUACCUUUUGGUUCGGAACAACCCAGGGAAACUUGGGCUAAUACCGGAUAAGCCCUUACGGGGAAAGAUUUAUCGCCGAAAGAUCGGCCCGCGUCUGAUUAGCUAGUUGGUGAGGUAAUGGCUCACCAAGGCGACGAUCAGUAGCUGGUCUGAGAGGAUGAUCAGCCACAUUGGGACUGAGACACGGCCCAAACUCCUACGGGAGGCAGCAGUGGGGAAUAUUGGACAAUGGGCGCAAGCCUGAUCCAGCCAUGCCGCGUGAGUGAUGAAGGCCCUAGGGUUGUAAAGCUCUUUUGUGCGGGAAGAUAAUGACGGUACCGCAAGAAUAAGCCCCGGCUAACUUCGUG